rnacentral:rRNA from 1 species
AACGAACGCUGGCGGCGUGCCUAACACAUGCAAGUCGAACGGGAUUCGGAGCUUGCUCCGAUGAGAGUGGCGCACGGGUGAGUAACGCGUAGAUAAUCUGCCUGAUGAUCUGGGAUAACAGUUCGAAAGGACUGCUAAUACCGGAUAAGCCCACGGAGACCUUGGUCUUUGCGGGAAAAGGGGGGGACCUUCGGGCCUUCCGUCAUCAGAUGAGUCUGCGUACCAUUAGCUAGUUGGUAGGGUAAAGGCCUACCAAGGCGACGAAGGUUAGCUGGUCUGAGAGGAUGAUCAGCCACACUGGAACUGAGACACGGUCCAGACUCCUACGGGAGGCAGCAGUGGGGAAUUUUGCGCAAUGGGGGAAACCCUGACGCAGCAACGCCGCGUGAGUGAUGAAGGCUCUUGGGUCGUAAAGCUCUGACAGAGGGAAAGAAGUGUAUGGUGGUUAAUACCCAUUGUACUUGACGGUACCCUCAAAGGAAGCACCGGCUAACUCCGUGCCAGCAGCCGCAGUAAGAC